AGGCCAAUAGCUCAGUUGGUAGAGCACUGGUCUCCAAAACCAGGUGCCGGGGGUUCGAGUCCCUCUUGGCCUGCCA
rnacentral:tRNA from 20 species